rnacentral:rRNA from 1 species
AUGCAGUCGACGCUUUUUCUUUCACCGGAGCUUGCUCCACCGAAAGAAAAAGAGUGGCGAACGGGUGAGUAACACGUGGGUAACCUGCCCAUCAGAAGGGGAUAACACUUGGAAACAGGUGCUAAUACCGUAUAACACUAUUUUCCGCAUGGAAGAAAGUUGAAAGGCGCUUUUGCGUCACUGAUGGAUGGACCCGCGGUGCAUUAGCUAGUUGGUGAGGUAACGGCUCACCAAGGCAACGAUGCAUAGCCGACCUGAGAGGGUGAUCGGCCACACUGGGACUGAGACACGGCCCAGACUCCUACGGGAGGCAGCAGUAGGGAAUCUUCGGCAAUGGACGAAAGUCUGACCGAGCAACGCCGCGUGAGUGAAGAAGGUUUUCGGAUCGUAAAACUCUGUUGUUAGAGAAGAACAAGGAUGAGAGUAAAAUGUUCAUCCCUUGACGGUAUCUAACCAGAAAGCCACGGCUAACUACGUGCCAGCAGCCGCGGUAAUACGUAGGUGGCAAGCGUUGUCCGGAUUUAUUGGGCGUAAAGCGAGCGCAGGCGGUUUCUUAAGUCUGAUGUGAAAGCCCCCGCUCAACCGGGGAGGGUCAUUGGAAACUGGGAGACUUGAGUGCAGAAGAGGAGAGUGGAAUUCCAUGUGUAGCGGUGAAAUGCGUAGAUAUAUGGAGGAACACCAGUGGCGAAGGCGGCUCUCUGGUCUGUAACUGACGCUGAGGCUCGAAAGCGUGGGGAGCGAACAGGAUUAGAUACCCUGGUAGUCCACGCCGUAAACGAUGAGUGCUAAGUGUUGGAGGGUUUCCGCCCUUCAGUGCUGCAGCAAACGCAUUAAGCACUCCGCCUGGGGAGUACGACCGCAAGGUUGAAACUCAAAGGAAUUGACGGGGGCCCGCACAAGCGGUGGAGCAUGUGGUUUAAUUCGAAGCAACGCGAAGAACCUUACCAGGUCUUGACAUCCUUUGACCACUCUAGAGAUAGAGCUUCCCCUUCGGGGGCAAAGUGACAGGUGGUGCAUGGUUGUCGUCAGCUCGUGUCCUGAGAAGUUGGGUUAAGUCCCGCAACGAGCGCAACCCUUAUUGUUAGUUGCCAUCAUUUAGUUGGGCACUCUAGCGAGACUGCCGGUGACAAACCGGAAGAAGUGGG